rnacentral:rRNA from 1 species
CCUACGGGGGGCUGCAGUGGGGAAUAUUGCACAAUGGGGGAAACCCUGAUGCAGCGACGCCGCGUGAGCGAUGAAGGCCUUCGGGUCGUAAAGCUCUGUCCUAAGGGAAGAUAAUGACGGUACCUUAGGAGGAAGCCCCGGCUAACUACGUGCCAGCAGACGCGGUAAUACGUAGGGGGCGAGCGUUGUCCGGGAUUACUGGGCGUAAAGGGUGCGUAGGCGGUCAUGUAAGUCAGAUGUGAAAGCCCUCGGCUUAACCGAGGUAAGCAUUUGAAGCUGCAUAACUUGAGUGCAGGAGAGGGGAGUGGAAUUCCUAGUGUGGCGGUGAAAUGCGUAGAUAUUAGGAAGAACACCAGUGGCGAAGGCGACUCUCUGGUCUAUAACUGACGCUGAGGCGCGAAGGCGUGGGGAGCAAACAGGAUUAGAUACCCGAGUAGUC